ACGGGGACCCGCACAAGCAGCGGAGCGUGUGGUUUAAUUCGUUGCUACACGAAGAACCUUACCUGGGUUUGACAUAUAGGUUGUAGGGAACUGAAAAGGGACCGACCCUUCGGGGAGCCUAUACAGGUGUUGCAUGGCUGUCGUCAGCUCGUGUCGUGAGAUGUUCGGUUAAGUCCGCUAACGAGCGCAACCCUCGUCGUAUGUUAUAUGUGUCAUACGAGACUGCCGGUAAAAAGCCGGAGGAAGGUGAGGAUGAUGUCAAAUCAUCAUGCCCCUUAUGUCUUGGGCUUCACGCAUGCUACAAUGGCCGGUACAAAGGGCUGCGAUACCGCGAGGUGGAGCGAAUCCCAGAAAGCCGGUCUCAGUUCGGAUUGGGGUCUGCAACUCGACCCCAUGAAGUCGGAGUCGCUAGUAAUCGCAGAUCAGCAACGCUGCGGUGAAUACGUUCCCGGGCCUU
rnacentral:rRNA from 1 species